GAUGAACGCUGGCGGCGUGCUUAACACAUGCAAGUCGAACGAUGAAGCCCAGCUUGCUGGGUGGAUUAGUGGCGAACGGGUGAGUAACACGUGAGUAACCUGCCCUUAACUCUGGGAUAAGCCUGGGAAACUGGGUCUAAUACCGGAUAGGAGCGUCCACCGCAUGGUGGGUGUUGGAAAGAUUUAUCGGUUUUGGAUGGACUCGCGGCCUAUCAGCUUGUUGGUGAGGUAAUGGCUCACCAAGGCGACGACGGGUAGCCGGCCUGAGAGGGUGACCGGCCACACUGGGACUGAGACGCGGCCCAGACUCCUACGGGAGGCAGCAGUGGGGAAUAUUGCACAAUGGGCGCAAGCCUGAUGCAGCGACGCCGCGUGAGGGAUGACGGCCUUCGGGUUGUAAACCUCUUUCAGUAGGGAAGAAGCGAAAGUGACGGUACCUGCAGAAGAAGCACCGGCUAACUACGUG
rnacentral:rRNA from 1 species